ACUGCUGAGCACAGCAUGCCAUGCUCCCCUCCCCCCUGAGCUGCUCCAGUUUUGGGGUCGCUGCUUCCAGCCCCUCCCCCGCCCUGGUCCCCUGGAGCCGCCCCCGGAGCUGCCCAGCAAGGUGGAGUGUCCCGCCCCUUCUGGCCCCGCCCCCUGAGGCCCCGCCAGAGAUUCCGGAGAUGCCGGUGAUCGACCUCAGGAGGCUGAUCCUGGACCACACCCAAGCCCCAGAGGGGGCAGAACUUGGUGCCAUCGUGGCUCCGGACUGGUCCCGCCCCCUCGUGGCCAGGGCCUUUGUUCUGUGCCUGGAUGAGACUUCCCCAUGCCCUCUUCACCCUAAACCAUGCCCACCCCUCCUUAAAACAUGCCCAUUUAAGCCCCAAGCACUUAAAUCCUUCUAUUUAAGCCCCACCCUUUAAGUUGUCCCCAUUUAAGCCCUACCCACUGUAAGAAACUUUGUUUCAAUCUCUACCCACUUUGGGCUCCACCCACUUUAAGCCCCACCCUUAACCCUUCCCAUUUGUGCCCCACCCACUUAAAACCCCACCCACUUUAGACCCCACCCCUUUCAUCUCUCCCUAUUUAGGCUCCUCCCCUUAAGCCCCACCCCCUUUAGCCCCACCCCUUUGACCACCUUUGCCUUGAGCCCUGUCCGCUCCCCCCCCCAGAGCUCUGCGCCUCCCAUUGGCUGCAGCUGGAGCAGCCCCACCCCUACAGACCAAUCCAGAUCAAGCUCCACCCACAGCGCCAAUAAAACACACCCACAUUGCCUUGCAAGGAGUGCAGGGAGCUUUUGUGUGGAUUUUGUGUGGAAUUUGGGAUUUUUGUGUGCAUGUUGGGGUUAGCUCCAAUACAAGUGCAGAUAAUCAUGGCUUAAGGCCGUGGGGAAACCCUUUGCAAUAGGAGUGAGUAAAAAACCACCCCCAGAAUCCUCCAGUUCCAGUAUGUUGACUAUUUCCACAGAGUUCUCUGCUUCCCUUGUUGUCAUUGGUUCCUUUUUGCUGCAAUAAUUUUAAUAUUCCUAAUGACCCUUCCCUAUUGGAUCCCCUCCCUAAACUCCACCCUAGUUCCUCCCUACUCCUGCAAGUUUAUAAAUACCCCUGCCCUGCCCUAACACCUGCUUUUUGCCAUUGCCCUCGUGCAUGGAUCAAGCCUCCCUGUACCAUCUGUCCCAGUUCGUUCAGUACAAGCUCUUUGGCUUGCUGUUUGUUGCUUUCUAGUAUUAAAGCUUUUUAGUUCCUGAACAAUCAGAUCAGAUUUUCUUUCUGGAUAAAAUCACCAAGUUCAGUGAAGCCACUGACCCUAAUAGCCGGGCUAAGGUCGGCCAGAGGCUUCGUACCUCCAAAAUUCCAUCUCUCCAAGGAUUGUGCCCAGACAAAAGUAGCCAGGACACACAGGUCUGGUGGCCCUGUCCUCUGGUGAUUUCCUUAGACUAUGAGCAGAAUGUUUUCAUUUACCAACGCCUUGGAGAGGGCUCAGAGAUCUCCCCAGGUGGAGUUUGGAGGCUGCAAGAACAUGACCACUAUACAGGGAUAAAGAAGCUCUGUGCUCAGUAGGGUGGAGACUGAGGACAGCAGAGGAGAGCCCUGGGAGGGAUUGCAGGGCUGUUUCAGAGAUGGUGGAUCCUUUUCACAUAGUAGAAAUCAACUGGAGAAAGAAAAAAUUAAUGCCAAGGGCAAUAGAUGAGGUCCAGACUGGACACAAGAACUCCGCACUCGCCCCGUAACUCUUACGUCUCAAGCAUACACCAGUCACACACCACCCAACCAAGCGAUAGUCUGCUGUUCUCGCCUGGAUCUUCAUGCACAAGAAAUUACAGCAUGGUAGAAGCCUUAUUCUGCUCUGGCUGCUCAAGGACACUUAGCAGGAUCUACAGGCGUACCUCAAGGCAUCUCGACUGCAAGAGAGAUUUGUUCUGUUUCAGUGUUUACUCUGUUGAAAGGAACCCUGGAAAAGCAAGCUGUUAUCCAUGAGGAAUCCCUUUACUCUUGAAAGUUGAGCUGUCUUUGAGACCUACUGCAAAGGGUACACAGGACAUUCAGAGCUCUGGAGACAAGGCUGAGCACUACUGAGUGGGGAGUGGCUACUGUGCACAGGCAGCUCUGGCAGGAAAUGAAUGUUGGACUGCAGGGAAUGGCCAAGGUGAGACUUGGCCCUGCAGUCCUCUGGGGUCUAUGGGGACUCGCAAAGAUGUGAAAGGGCUGCAGGCCACGGGUGGAGCAGUGCUGACCCAGGCUGUGACCCAGCCAAGGAGUUCUUCCAAUGUCCCUUGAGAGGACACCGCAGGGGUUUUUUCUUAAUAAGGACUUCUGAGAAGGCAAGGUGUGGACUCUUGGUUUCAUGUAAAUAUUUAUUUAAAUUUUUGUCUCUGAAAGCAAAGCAUUUAUCUCCUGACUUCCCUGCUAUUCAAUAUCUACUGAACUGGGUGUGCAUUUUCCUAAGCUAAUAAAAAAUUUCUUGUCCUGUGUGCUCCCCA